GCCAACCAGCGCAGCCCCAGUUCCAGGUCUGUAAUGGAAACACAGGAAGCACGGCCUUCAAAGAGGGAGCCCUGGUGUUGGUCAAGUGAGGUCUUUGAGGCCACCGCCCUGUGGCUUGGCCAGUAGCUGUACCAUUGCGGAAACUGUAUUGAGAGGGAGGCAAGGCGCCUUCAGCCGAGGAGCUGCCAGGAAGGCCCUCACAAUGGAGACGAGAGGUACAAUGAAUUCACCGCCGAAUGAGACGGAUCUGCCCUGCUCCCAGCCUCACGGCAGCAUCCCCAGGACGGAUCUUGCAGUUGAGCAGCGGGCGAUGAAACAGCCUGGCUCGUCCUCAUUAUUAGGACUUAGAGAAGAAGACUAAGAUCCAGCCUGAAGGAGCAGCCUCUCUUCUGGAUAGACUGGAAAAAAGGAAGCGAAUUGGCAGAAACACACAAUGGCUCUCAAAGCUUCUGCCUGCUUCACACCCUCUCACGUGCUGUUGGCUACAGCAAGUCACGUGCCAAACCAGUGACAAGGGCAGAGAAUGCCCUGCAGGGGCCUCCAUCCAGUGUGAAUUAUGAGUCAGAUCUGGACCUGCCUGGGAGAGCACCUCGGAGACAGCGUGGAACUGUUCAGAGAAGACUACCCGUCUGUUCUAGCGACCAGAGGGCACCUGGGUUAACUGCCCCCAAGAAAAAGGCCGGCACCCCAAGCCCUUCUGCUUUUUUUUUUAAGGUAUGCUUUUUGGUGAGGAAGAUUGGCCCUGAGCUGACAUCUGUUGCCAACCUUCCUCUCUCUUUUUUUUUUCCUCCCCAAAGCCCAGCACAUAGUUGUAUAUCCUAGGUGAAGUCAUUCUAUUUCUUCUAUGUGGGAUGCCGCCACAGCAUGGCUUGGUGAGGGGUGCUAGGUCCGCGCCCAGGAUCCGAAGUGGUAAGCACCUGGCCGCUGAAGCAGAGCACAGGAACUUAACCCCUUGGCCAUGGGGUGGCCUCGGCCCUUCUGCUUUGUUCAGCCAC
rnacentral:lncRNA from 1 species